rnacentral:rRNA from 1 species
CUCGUCGAAGGAGAUCAGAACAGGGGAGGGCGCCGAUCCCAAAGGAGGCGAAGCGAGAGCGUCUUACGGAGCGAUGCUACUCGCACUAGCAAUGCCACCGUUGUGUUCCGACAUGCACCCAGCAGAAGGGAGCGCGUGGGCGUGUUCCCUGGAGCUUCUGGAGAAGCCGUCUAUACCCUCUCACGCUGUACACCUAUACUUCGUGCUCAAACGUAAACAACUCAAAUCACUAGGGUCCCUACGACUACUUCGUUCCAUGUUAGAACUACCAGCACUGAAACUACCUUCGGCGUACUAACAACUCAAACGAUUUCCCCAAGGCGCACCGGUUCCUCCUCCUCCACUGGCACUGGCACCACCGGCACCACCACUGGCACUUAUAUACCCAGCCCCUGGAGGAGGACCAAGACCCGCAACGAAAUUGACACCCUAACUACCCGUAACCCGAGCCCUGACGUUUCGACCGCUGACCUUUUUGUCCACGAUAGCAACACCUCUAUCACCGGUGUAUCUUUCCCUAACAGUCUUGUCGGGAUUCUUGGAGUUCGCACCUUUCUCAAUGAGGUCUAGAGGUAGAGGAGCGGCGCCUUCCCACGCACUAUCCUCGAUGUCGUCCUCGGCGUCAUCCUCGAUGUCGGCGAGACAAAGGGGUUCCUCCCUACUUUCCGCUAGUUCCUCGGGAGCGCUGUCAGCGUCGGGUUCCUCCUCGGGGGCACUGUCAGAGUCGGGGUCCUCCUCGGGGGCGUUGUCAGCGUCGGGAUACUUCUCGGGGGCACCGUCAGCGUCGGGAUACUCCUCGGGGGCACUGUCAGCGUCGGGAUCCUCCUCACGAAGUGGACGGUUCCCCUCCCGGGCCUCGGGGUGGGGAGGACCGUCGUCCUCGGGACGUGGUUCCCUAUUGUCGUCCUCGGGUUACUUCCGACUGUCGGGAUUUUUGUACUCGGGUCGACGGUUACCAGCAUCGGACUCGGGGUCCCUGCCGCUUCUGUUACCGGUGGUGGCACGUGGGUCACCUUCACGUAGUGGGCCACCACCAAUC